rnacentral:SRP_RNA from 2 species
GCCAGGCGUGGCAGCGUGCGCCUGUAGUCCCAGGUACUCGGGAGGCUGAGGCAGGAGAAUUGCUUGAACCCAGGAGGCGGAGGUUGCAGUGAGCUGAGAUUGUGCCACUGCACUCCAGCCUGGGUGACAGAGCAAGACUCCGUCUCUA